rnacentral:rRNA from 1 species
UACGUAGGGGGCUAGCGUUGUCCGGAAUCAUUGGGCGUAAAGCGCGCGUAGGCGGCCCGGUAAGUCCGCUGUGAAAGUCAAAGGCUCAACCUUUGAAUGUCAGCAGAUACUGCCGGGCUAGAGUCCGGAAGAGGCGAGUGGAACUCCUGGUGUAGCGGUGGAAUGCGCAGAUAUCAGGAAGAACACCAACGGCGAAGGCAGCUCGCUGGGACGGAACUGACGCUAAGGCGCGAAAGCGUGGGGAGCGAACAGG